UAUAACUAAGGGGAGGGGCCGUGUGCCGAUAACCCUUUGUUGCUAGGACCCGGCGGUGGCUGGAUGUGGUCGGCAGGCCCUCGUUUGCCACCCCUGUGCUGGAACCUUCGGCCUGGUUCUUGUCUGGGGAGCUAAUUUCUACCUCUUUUGUCCAGACGGACCGCUAGGAGUGCGCAGUUGUGUCAAGCACUUAACCAGCUGAAAACAGAGUUUCUCCUGUUCCAUCUCCUGCCUUCCCUCUUUUCAUCUGGGUUGGAAAGAGUCUAAGGCUGGACUCUUACACCAUCAUAACGGAUACACUUGAGGUGUAACGGGAGGGAAGCAGUAUCAUAGGAUCUCUGUGAGAGAAGCUCUGGUGGUGACAGUUGGACGCGGACCUGAUACUACCGGUUCUGGUUACACCUGUGUCCCUGUAGAUGAGCCCAGAAUCUUCCCUCAGAUUGGCACUUGCAGACACCAGAUCGCCUUCUACGGAAGAUGGAAGCAGUGAGUGCUAUAUUAAAGCGGGCAAGACCAAGAGGCUCUUCACUUCACCACGGGCGGACGCACGUCAGCAGCGUCCCAGCUUCCAGGUUCCGUCUGGCGGACAGCCCCACGGAUGCCAGCAGCAGCAGCAGCAGCAGCGC